GAGUUUGAUCUUGGCUCAGAUUGAACGCUGGCGGCAUGCCUUACACAUGCAAGUCGAACGGCAGCACGGGUGCUUGCACCUGGUGGCGAGUGGCGAACGGGUGAGUAAUGCAUCGGAACGUACCCGGAAGUGGGGGAUAACGUAGCGAAAGUUACGCUAAUACCGCAUAUUCUGUGAGCAGGAAAGAGGGGGAUCGCAAGACCUCUCGCUUUCGGAGCGGCCGAUGUCGGAUUAGCUAGUUGGCGGGGUAAAGGCCCACCAAGGCAACGAUCCGUAGCGGGUCUGAGAGGAUGAUCCGCCACACUGGGACUGAGACACGGCCCAGACUCCUACGGGAGGCAGCAGUGGGGAAUUUUGGACAAUGGGGGCAACCCUGAUCCAGCCAUGCCGCGUGAGUGAAGAAGGCC
rnacentral:rRNA from 1 species